rnacentral:lncRNA from 1 species
UGGACUGUUUUGGGUCAUUUAUUGAAUCCAAAACUUGUGUUAUUAUUGUUGAUAUUAUUCAUCAUGUUUUAUAGCUGUUUUGGUGUUGAAAUACACCCUUGUAUCUUGUAUUCUUGUUGUUGGUAGCGAAUCCGAGUGUGGUCUCCAUCUUGGUCCUCGAAUCCUUAAGAUUAGUGGACUAAUUUGGAGUGUGAUUUCGUGUUUCCAUUGUCAUUCCCGU